GAAGAACCACAAAAAUCACACGCCAUCCCUCAUCAUUGACUUGCAGCUUAGAACCCAGCAGAACAUCAGAAUUGAUUGAGUUGGAAAUGAGGUGGUGGUGGCAUUACACUUUCACUCAUUUUGAGAGACCAUUAUUAUCUUCUGUUCUCUUUAGGGUCUUCUGCUGAGCUCAUCAUCAUAGUAUUUGACUGUUCUUAAGGUGCCUGUUGAACGGAUAGAUGCAAAAUUGUCUGCUUUGGGUGGUGUAUGUACGUAGCAAGUUCAGGCAGCUUCCCUGAAAUAGGAAGGAGAGUUCUGGCUGAGUAGGAGAAAGCUGAGCAUCAUUUCAGUGGGAGUAUUAAAUAUUGAUGUGGUUUUUUUUAACAUUGAUGUCACUGAUUUAUUUAAGGAGCUGUGCAGUAUGCUGCUGGUGAUAAAUCUUUCAGAUGCCAAGCUCAUCCAGCUGUAACCGUGUUCUGGAACUGCAAAGUCUUUUACUACAUGUAUUUCUGCUGGGCACCAGUCUCCAAGAUAUGCAGACAUUACAGAAGGCUGUAAGAUUGAAGGGAACAUAUGAGCUUUAAAAUAUAUAUAUAUAUUCAAGGCCACUUGUACAGAGACCCCUAAGGCAUAAAUGAAACAGUCUUCAUACGUAGCCUGGUCCUUCUUUGGCAGUGUAGUCUUCGCUGCCUGCAUGUUGCAGAAUUUGCAAACAAAGAUGUUGAGCAAUAUUUUCAAAACUAUUUAAGGGAUAGAUUCACCAAAGGACUUAGGUGCUUAACUCCCACCUUAGGUGCUGAAAUCCCAGAGUCAGGCCCCACUGGAAUUCACACACCACCACCACCCACUCCCCCCUCACACUCAGCUGCUGCCAAGUCUGUAGGUGCCUAAACUUGCUUGGCACCUACAUUUUUGCAGUAAAAGAUCCCUAGGCACCUAUGUUUGUGCCUCUGUGCGUGUGCAGGCAUCUGGAUGUCUAAAUCCUAGAGCGAAGUAAAACCCAGGGGAAAGAUAGGCAUUCCUCCGCUUAACUCGCCUGCAGGGCCCUAGCCAGUAAGCAUGCUUAGAGCUCACUUACUGGAUCAGCCCCCUAUAGGCGAGAAUACACAAAAAAGCAGGGCACGGGAAGCUCUCUCAUAUCUUUUAGCCUAGUGCAGUAGUUCUCAAACUUUCAUACUGGUGACCCCUUUCACACAGCAAGCCUCUGAGUGAGAACCCCCUUU
rnacentral:lncRNA from 1 species